rnacentral:tRNA from 1 species
GCAUCCAUGGCAGAGUGGUCGAUUGCAUCGCACUCAUAAUGCGAUUUCGUAAUGAACGUCGUUGGUUCAAACCCAACUGGAUGCA